rnacentral:rRNA from 1 species
UACGUAGGGUGCAAGCGUUGUCCGGAAUUAUUGGGCGUAAAGAGCUCGUAGGCGGCUUGUCGCGUCGGCUGUGAAAACCUGGGGCUCAACCCCGGGCCUGCAGCCGAUACGGGCAAGCUAGAGUUCGGUAGGGGAGACUGGAAUUCCUGGUGUAGCGGUGAAAUGCGCAGAUAUCAGGAGGAACACCGAUGGCGAAGGCAGGUCUCUGGGCAUUAACUGACGCUGAGGAGCGAAAGCAUGGGGAGCGAACAGG